GUAGGGAAUCUUCGGCAAUGGACGAAAGUCUGACCGAGCAACGCCGCGUGAGUGAAGAAGGUUUUCGGAUCGUAAAACUCUGUUGGUAGAGAAGAACGUUGGUGAGAGUGGAAAGCUCAUCAAGUGACGGUAACUACCCAGAAAGGGACGGCUAACUACGUGCCAGCAGCCGCGGUAAUACGUAGGUCCCGAGCGUUGUCCGGAUUUAUUGGGCGUAAAGCGAGCGCAGGUGGUUUAUUAAGUCUGGUGUAAAAGGCAGUGGCUCAACCAUUGUAUGCAUUGGAAACUGGUAGACUUGAGUGCAGGAGAGGAGAGUGGAAUUCCAUGUGUAGCGGUGAAAUGCGUAGAUAUAUGGAGGGACACCGGUGGCGAAAGCGGCUCUCUGGCCCGUAACUGACACUGAGGCUCGAAAGCGUGGGGAGCAAACAGGAUUAGAAACCCGAGUAGUCC
rnacentral:rRNA from 1 species